GGCUCCAUAGUGUAGUGGUUAGCACGUAUGCUUUACACUCAAAAGGUCCUGGGUUUGCACCCCAGAUGGAGUCA
rnacentral:tRNA from 1 species